rnacentral:lncRNA from 1 species
GCACGCCCUUUCCUCGGAUCGCUAGAGAAGGCAACUUUUCUCACUGAGGGCGGGACGGACCCGACCCGGCGAGCUCCCGGCCGCGGUGGCCAAGGGCAGCGUGCGUGCGUGCGGGGGUACAGCGUGCACACUCAAACCCCGUCACAGAGUAUAAACGGGCAAGCCACGAGCGAGCGUUUGAGGGGGGGCCCCGCGGUAUCGGUAAAGGCUUUUUUUCUCUUUACCAGGGUUCACAUUGAGCACUCGCGGACAGGGGUACCGGGGCCAAGAAAAAGGCACCCCCGGACAAGCCAGGCCUCUCAAACCCACCUCCGGGCGAACGGCGGUGAGCCAAAUUAACGGGCUUAAGAUACACUUAAGCACAAAAAAGGCCGGCCGCGAACGCUCGACACCAACCGACGCACGAGCCUACGGGAGAAGGCCCAAGUACGUGGCGGGCGCUCACCCAAAGCGGGAAGAGAUGCCACACACACAUGCGGACGUCCCGGGGAAACGCCGCAAGAGAACUCUUACCCGCCUGAAACCACUUUCUCGACCCCCCACAAACGACACCUCGCAAAACCAGAGCGGCACGGACCCCCGUCGACAAAGAGCCGGGAACGACAACACACGCCACCGAGGCCAGACCGAGCACGCAGGAGGCAGCACGCCAGGGAGCGGGAAGCGACGCCGCCGCUCAGAAACGGGCACCUUCGAGGUCAAGCCUGGAGCGCUCCAGGAGCACCGCGAGGAUAGCGAGCGAGACACGUGCACACGCCAGUCGGGAAGGGCAUGCAGCACGGCAGACCACGCGAGCCGCGCCAGGGGCAACCUGGCAACGUCGCAAGAACCCCACGAACCACAGCGACAAGUGCGGGGAUUGACAGGGUUCAGACCGGAUAACCGCACCCCUGCCUUCCACACACCACCAAACGGUGGGGAGGAGAGGCGAGGGGCCCGCUGGCAGAACGAGAAGAGCGGCCGCCAUUCGCCAUGAAUGUCCGUCCCUCGCCUGGCGCGGCUUAGGCUCCGGCCCGAAGAGAGCUUGAGAGUACCACAUCGAUCCAGAGAAAACCGGAGAGACCGCCUUUUUUUAAGGCCAACUUGGAGCGAGCAAGACGGGAGAAGCGAGCGAGCGAGCGUGAACGAGAAACGGGAGAGAGCCAAUACACCACCACCAUAUAGGGGGAAAAAAAAAAAAAGCCAUCAAAAAAACCACGGAAAAAAACAAAGCACCGACGCCCUCGGAGCAAGAAAAGCAAAAGCUUUAAUACUGUGGGCACAAAAAAGCAGGUGCACUCGGGAGGCACAGCCCUGACGGCUUCCCCUGGUGAGAACUCGGGAGCUCCAGAGAAGGGGAAAAAAAAAAAAAAAAAAAAAAAAAAAAAAAAAAAAAAACACCGCCCAUGGUCAGGAAGGAACAAACACGAGGCCUUCUCUCAAAAGACCGCGGCUCCCACCAUCCCAAAGAAACGGCACGGGUGACAACUGCAAAGCGGGCACGCCUGACACGCAAAAGGGCCACUCGCAGGGAGACAGGCAUAGCAUACGGUAAAAGUACUGUGGCCGUCCCCCCCGCGUCUCUCCAUGUACCGAGAAGCCCCAAGGGGCAAGAGGCUGGACCGGACGGAGGAACCCAGUGGCACUCGAGGAACCAGAAAAAGCCCGAGAGCAGUCCUUUACUAAUGUCACCCACUCACAAGACAAGCGUGUCAGUACCUAUCUGCAGGUACAAAGAGAGCAGAUUGCAAAACUGGAAUAUGAUGACAGUGUAGCGGUGAUAAAUUCACAGACCACACGGAAAUUCUGGAAGUCGGGACCGGCGAAGUGCCCCAAAUAUUGUCCCAAUCAACGAGAGAACCGAACAUCAAAGCAACAACUGGUCGACCUCAUAACCGUGAUAGGACCAAGAGCGAGGUAGACAUGCAGAAAAGAUCGGCACACACCGGCAUCCUCUCGGGCAAGGACCCGGAGGGCAGGAGCCCGGGAUGGGAGGACACGUCGAAGAAAAACAAAGUCUGACCCUACAAGGAACCGGGAACUAGCAGGCAGUGAGGCCGGAAACAGCGCCUCCUCUCGGCUUCGAGACGCCGAGACGACCGCUGGGGACCGAGGGCUUCCGCAGAAGGAAAAGUUCCGAGGCACCCAGAGAAUCCCGGGCCCCGGCCCGCUAGUGAAUCCGGGAACAGCGCUUCCUCUCGGCCUCGGGUCGCCGAGACCACCGCCGGGGACCGACCGAGGGUGGCUACCGCACGCACACAAGAUAAAAUGUUCCGAGGCACCCAGAGAAUCCCGGGCCCCGGCCCGCUAGUGAAUCCGGGAACAGCGCUUCCUCUCGGCCUCGGGUCGCCGAGACCACCGCCGGGGAUCGACCGAGGGUGGCUACCGCACGCACACAAGAUAAAAUGUUCCGAGGCACCCAGAGAAUCCCGGGUCCCGGCCCGCUAGUGAAUCCGGGAACAGCGCUUCCUCUCGGCCUCGGGUCGCCGAGACCACCGCCGGGGACCGAGGGUUAGUUACAGUUACGGGACGUGAAGGACUUUUAAAAGGCUUCUGGUCGACCAGCUCAAGCCGCCACCACACCUCCAUCUGGCCAUGGUAGCACACAGAACAGCCACCACCUUCUCGUUUAUUCUACCGGUACAACCUCCUGCACAGAGACCGUUCACAAACGUCGCACCGCCUCCGGGACACACCCGCCAGCGUGCCUGGAUUCUCGUCGCUCUGGUCGGCUGACUGCAGGCGAGUCACCGCCCUUGUCACCGAGCGCCCGGGGACCAGGCGUGUUGUAGCUUACUGCCGCCGCUAGGUGUCGCCCGACAGCCGUCUCGAUCCGAUCGUCCAAGAACCAACACAACAGAUCCACAACAGAUCGCAACCCUCCCGGCGGGCGGGAUUGGGGACACAAACACACAACAGGACAGGACGGGACAGGACAGGGCAGGGUACUCACCCCCUCACCCGAGUGAGUGAGGGCACAAACGCUGCCCGUCAACACGCCGGGACGUAGACUCGGGCCUACACCCUCAGCCGACGAAAGCGAAAGUUAAAGACACAAAGCUAGGAAAACAGGCGAAUCACUCUCUACCGGUAGUUUAUAAGACCAUGUGAGGCUACCAGCUGGCACGAUUAAGGGAGGGGGGAGGGGGCAGAUGGCAGCUCUGGGACAUUUUACCGGCUUGCUCCCGCUUUUGUGUUUUGCUGUUGUGUUUCUGGCUGGCUGCCGCUGCCGCCGCCGACCACCCACACCUACCUACACACACACCCCCACCGCCCCCCAGUUCUCAAACUAAAUAAUACCACCGAGUAAUUUUACCUUUCAAACAAAUCUAUCUAUCUUUUAAAUGUAUUAACUUUUUUUUUUUUUUUACAUUCCAAUCCAAGCGACCCCUCCUCCUGCUCCUCCCGGAUCUUCCCCCCCCCCCCCCCGGGUCUAGGCUGAGCAAGGAGGUAUUUCUCAAACCACAGACCGGGGUAGGUAGGGGUGGUGUCUUUGACAGUCCUGGCUAUCCUGGAACUCACACUCUGUAGACCAGUGUGCCCCGACUUGCGGGGUCCCACACACGAGCUCACACCCCGAUGAUCAAACUGCAACCCCCCCCCCACACACACACACACACAGGGACCUGAUAUAGGGGUGCCAAGCGGGGAGCUUGGCAGGAAGGGAGAGGUCGUUUGAGGCUGCUUGCCUGAUAACCAGGCUGAGGAAUGUCCCUGUGCAUGAGUCCUUGAGAGUGCAGGAGGUUAGCAAGGUCUCACACACAGGUGUGUGUGCAGGUGUUUAGAUAGUGGGUUAGAAGAGGGUAAGGAUUGGUAGGUCACCUGACCAUGAAAUGUGUCUUUUAUGAGCCUGAGUGUUAUGCAUCAGGGAGGAAAGGAUUGAAGGCAGCUAUCCUUUUCAUUAGAAUGAGUUAUCCUGGCAGCUUCUGCCCAAGUCUCUUACAGGUAGUUCCAUCCAAGGUUACUUUUGCCAUGGCCCCCUUUGGUAGACCAGGCCAUAGAUCUGCCUGCCUCUGCAUCCACCAAAGUGAGUGAGUGAGUGAGUGAGUGCUAGUGGGACUAAAGGCUUGUGAAGCACCACUGCCCUGCAGGAUUCCACAUUUUCAGUGACUUAGUCGGGAGAGCGGCCUGUGCACAUAGCCUCAGAAAUCAGUACGUAGACCAGACCUGCCUGCCUGCAAUUCACAGAGUUCCAAAACUUGUCUGUGUCUCCUAAAUGAUGGGAUUAAAGGCGUGCACCACCACACCUACCUGUUUGUUUCUGUGACUCUGGGGAAGGGAAGUUUUUAUCUGCCUGCCUGCCUGCCUGCCUGCCUGCCUGCCUGCCUGCCUGCCUACCUGCCUGCUUUUUCUGUUACUUUUUGUGCAUUAAAUUUAUUUUCAGACAGAUUUUAGUCAUGUGUCUCUGGUUCUCCUCUCUCUCUCUCUCUCUCUCUCUCUCUCUCUCUCUCUCUCUCUGUGUGUGUGUGUGUGUGUGUGUGUGUGUUUUGGCUAGUGACUUCACCAAGAUGGAAGCUAGCAUGUGACAUAAUUUUGAAGAUCCUUUUGUUCUCUGUGUUUCUCUAAAGGGUCAGAACUUAAAACCAAUUUUCCUGUGAAGGAUUGUGAGGAGGCUCUCCUGAUUGAGACAAACCACCAUACAGGGUUAGCUUCCUCUCUGGGGUGAGGGGUAAAUGAAGCAAGAAAGAAAAAAAAAAGGAAAUGAAGAAAGAAAGAAAAAAAGGAAAGGAAAGAAAGAAAAAGAAAUGUGAAUUUACAGACCAAGGGAAAGGAAAAGAAAAGAACAGGCCGGGUGUUGUUGGCACAGGCCUUCAAUCCCAGCAGCACUAGGUAGGCAGACACAGGAAGAUCUCUGUAAGUUUGAAGCCAACCUGGUCUACAGAGCAAGUUCCAGGACAGGGUCCAAAGCGAUAGAGGAACACCUGUCUCGAAAAACCAAAUUAAUUAACAACAACCACCACCACAACAACAACAAUAAUAAUAAAUAAAUAAAUAAAUAAAUAAAUAAAUAAAUAAAUAAAGCUCAUGUAAUUAUUUUAUGCACGAGUGCUCUAUCCACACCCGUGCACUUUCACCAGAAGAGGGCACCAGACCCCACCAUAUGUUUUCUGGAAAAUCUGGAAAUUCCACCUCUCUGGGCCCGAUUCUUUCCUGUUUUUUCCUUUGGUGGGUCGGUGCUUGCAUAUGUGGUGAGAGAGUGAGCACCUGUAUGGGGUGGGGGCAGGAGGCAUCCAGACGCUGUGUGCCUGUGGUUCCUGCAAUGGUAGCUCUAUUCAGGACCCUUUUGUUUUUUUUAAAAAAAAAAAAGGAAAGGGGAGAGAGAGAGAGAGAGAGAGAGAGAGAGAGAGAGAGAGAGAGAGGAGACAGAGAGAGACAGAGACAGAGACAGAGACAGACAGAAAGAAAGAAGGAAAGAAAAAGAAAGAAAGAAUCACUUUACAAUCAGUAUCCAGGAAUCUUCUCAUGCUGCCCCAAGUACCAACAACCUCCACAACUUGGUUUGUUCAGUGUAUGCACCUACUGCUAGACUUGCUCAGCUUUCCAAGCCAAAACCUGAGGCUUCAUCCCAUGCCCAGGCCAGGUUCCCCCAGCUUUUAUUCACUUAUUUUGGAUGUUUAUCUUCAUUAAUGACAGGUUAAUUAUUUUAACUUUAAUUGUUUUUUAUUUUGGGGGAGACAGAAGAUUUGGAUUCUCAGGAGUGGGCACAUACAAUAUAAUACGUACGUACAUACCUACGUACAUACAUACAUACAUUUGAAAGGUAAAAUUUCCUGGGAUGCUUCUAAUGCCAGCACUCAGGAGGCUGUGUCAGGGAGAUCUCUGUGAGUUUGAGGUCAGCCUGAAUUACAGAGUGAGUUCCAGGACAGCCAAGGUUGUCUUGAAAAGCCAAAAGAAAGGAGAGAGAGAGAGAGAGAGAGAGAGAGAGAGAGAGAGAGAGAGAGAGAAUAAUGAACAGAAUAACAAAAAUGCAGCAGUUUGGAGCAGGGAAUUUUGGCAAAUGCCUUUAAAGUCACCACUCUGAAGGCAAGAGCAUCUCUGAGUUGAUGGCCAACCUGGUGUACAGAUCGAGUGCCAGGACAUCCAGAGCUACACAGAGGAAACCUGUCUUGAAAAACUGAAAAUGCUAUCUCCCUGCACAAAAUCUAACUCUAAAUGGGAAACCUUCUAAACUGAAACUGUGAGCAGAUGAGAGUACCCUUUAAGUAAAAAGAAAGAAAAAUUCACAACUACUUGUUUGAUGUGGAUUUUGGAAACCUCGAAGUGAAGUAGAGUAACUGAUACCCACUCUUAUUGUUUAGGCCAGACUGGUAUUUGAGAUAGCUUGGUGGGUCCUUCUAACUCAGCCCCAUCUGCUUGAGCUACAGAUUACUUAAGCUUAGAUCCUGAAGCGGUCCACUUUUUAGAUCAAUACCAGGAAAAAGGAAGAAAGAAAAAAGAAAGGAGGGAGGGAGGGGAGAGAGAGACAGAGAGAGAGAGAGAGAGAGAGAGAGAGAGAGAGAGAGAAUAUUAGAGCUGUUGUGUAAAUGAGAGCUAGAACCCCUUGAAUUUCCCUAUUUUUAACUUUUACCUUACCUGUGGAAUUACCCAGAUCAUGCUAAAAAAAAUAGAGGAUGGGACCCAAGGCCAAGGAAAGAAAACUAACAAAGCAAAACAAACAAACAAACAACAAAAAAAAAAUCAUACAAUCCUAAUUUGACACAUUGUCCCUCCUGUGUAGUUUGGAUUCAACUUUCCAUUAUGAAGUAAAUUUUACAAAGGCAAGCCAGCUGCCUCUGUGCGGGCAGGCAGUCAGUCAGUCAGUCAGUCAGUCAGUCAGUCAGUCAGUCAAAAACUAGGGCCUGCCUGCACAGAUCUAUCUAAGCCAGAUGGGGCACCAGUGCUGAGAAGGGCAAUGGACAGAAGCCUAACCCAGAAUUUAGCUCCAGUUGAUAACCACUUGAGAAGGAAAUAUUAUUUUUCUACAACAAGAGUCUUACUGAGUCUUCUAACAAACCACUUGGCUGGGUGGGUGGUGGAAGGAGUUGUGGGCAGGGAAACUCUGAUCAGAAUACAUUGUAGGAAAUUUUAAAAAGAAAGAAAGAAAGAAAGAAAGAAAGAAAGAAAGAAAGAAAGAAAGACACAGAGAAACAGAAAGAAAGAAAGAAAGAAGGAAAGAUCAUCCCCACCCCAUCCCCCCCGAAACAAAACUAAAAGACAAGCUGGGCAGAGGUGACACAUGACUUUAAUCCCAGAUCUCACUAGGGGAGGCAGAGACCGGUGAAUCUUUCUGUGUUGGAGGUCAGCCUGUUCUCCAGAGUGAGUUCUGGGACAGGUUCCAAUGACACAGAGAAACCCUGUCUCGAAAAAAACCAACCAAACAACAACACAGGUGAACUUUGUGACUGUAAGCAUUCCUUUUCUGCAUAUCCAACCACUCUCAUCUAGCUAGUGAGCAAUUCUGUCCCAGCAGCUCUAACCCUAUCCUGAAUGCCCCAGGUAAAUUCUGUAGUCAAGCCUUACAAAUCCUUCAUUUCCGAAGGGUAUUCUUGGUAAAACCAAAACUUUGGAUGGUGCCUAAUGGAGGAAGCAGCAGCAGCAGCAGCAGCAGCAGCAGCAGCAGCAGCAGCAGCAGCACAGAUAGAUAGAUAAAUAAAUAAAUAAAUAAAUAAAUAAAUAAAUAAAUAUGAAUUUUUAAAAAGCAACAUUAUUAUUAACAAGUAUUAGCUUACAAAGAGAUGAGGCCUUCCUUUGGCUUAGCGUCACAUAGAGGAGAGGCAUUAAUUUGCAGAAGGAAGACUGACUGCGGGGGCCAGGGAGAUGAUGAGGCCUUUCUUCCAACUGCCAUAAUUCAUGUUGUCAUUUGCAACAGGGCCUCAAAUACAAUUCUCUACCUAAUAUGAAAAUUAAUGUCUUUUAGAGAAACAUUUUUUAUAAUUCUAAUUUUGGUUAAUAAAGGUUUAAGAAUUUAAAAAAAAAAAAUUUCUCUUCCUGAUACCAUUCUGUCAAAGCCAUCAUGUGUCACAUGCUGUAUGGAGGCAAGGGAGUCAGGGAGAGGAAGGGGGAGCGAGGGAGCGGAGCGGCACAGCCAUCUCUGUUAGGAAAUGGUGAGCGAAAGUCACAAGGCCAGCACAGCACAGCUGUCUGCUUGACAAAAUCCAUCAAAGCUGAACCCUGUGAUGGCCGCCACGCUACGUUUGGUUUUUCAUCUCCACCUGUUACAUACAUACAUACAUACAUACAUACAUACAUACAUACAUACAUACUUGGGAGACUUUUAAUAUUUGUAUGAUUUAAGGAUAUCAGCAGAUUCAUGGAAAAUUUCUUCCUCCCAGAAUUACUGCUUCUAACUUUCACCGAGAAAGUCCUAGACACACCACCCCUCCCGCUUUUAGGGAGAUAUAUAUCCUUAUCUACUUGGAGGUUUGGAUUUGACGCAAAGAAAGAAGCCAGAGGUCUCUUCAUGAGGCCACAAGGGGACACUCUUGCUUGAAACAUCUGUUGUCCCUGUACUUACACAGGAACAAGAUACUCAAAGAAGAAAAACUCAAAAACUGGUCUAAAAGAUUUGUUGAGACAGAGCAAUUGCCAAGGGCCAAGGGAGGAACCUGUGGCCCUUCCAUUAACAUACGACUGUUGCCUAUUGUCAAGGUCAAGGAUAGAUUUCUCAACUCCCUAUCUCAAAGCCACACCCCAGCUGCCAAGCCCCUUGUCUCCCAUUGAAUCCUAUGUGUGUCCAAGUGUACAGUCUUAAAAGGUUUUGGUUUGUGUGUGGGGGGGGGUAGGGUUGGUUGGUUUUUUUUUUGGGGG